GGGGCCAUCGUCUAGCGGUUAGGACGUCGGGCUUUCAUCCCGGCAACCGGGGUUCGAUUCCCCGUGGCCCUG
rfam:Candidatus Buchananbacteria bacterium RIFCSPLOWO2_01_FTLL_40_23b rifcsplowo2_01_scaffold_23557, whole genome shotgun sequence.